AGUGUUGCAAAGCCUGAAGUGCAAUCGAUUAUCAUAGCCAAGUGGCAUAUUCGUUGAAUGUUCGCUUUUGAACCGGAUGACCAAUCUAACACGGUCGUUGGUUCAUAUGUCCCUUCUUCCCUUCUCCCACUCCACCAAACAACCUCGUUCAACGGACAUUAAAAACAAAUCCUUCUGGUAUUUGCGUCAAAAAAUUCCGAGGUUGUUCUUCUGUUUCUGCAACUCGGCCUCUUGCUUCUCAUCAUUGCCAUUCAUUUUUCUAUCGAGUCACCCUUCACACGGAUGAGCUUCGGCUCUGCCUCGAUGAGAUUUUACGAACCAUUUAGUGUCGUACCAUAAGAAAUUACUCGAAUCGAAGUUUUUGGUCUUUGCUGCGGUUAAGGGAUAGCAAAUUUACGACUUAGGACAUGUAUUACCAGGACACAAACGUGCCUCAUGCCUGAUUCGAUUUUGUGUCGUGCAUUCAAAAAUGUCCGAUCGGAUCAUGAUGGGAACUCUGCCUUGAUUGAUUGUGAUUUGUUCAUAACUUUCUUCCAAUUAUUUUCCCGUAUAUUGGACAAUCAUAAUUAGACGUAUCAAUCCUUAUGUUAGUCAGCCUUUGUUAGAAGAGUAGUUGGCUGCUUGGACUUGGAGUUUCACUUUAGCUUGCCCUUUUGUCCACAAUCCUUUGUCUCUCGUUGAAGUAGUUGUGCAAUGUUGAAACGAUUUCUUCUUCAACCAGCGGGGGCCGUGAAUUUCCUGUUAGGUUUGGGUUAGAGAGUGUAAAGAUUGAGUCGAGAUUUGUGGAUGCAUGAUGUAUAAAUGGGGUUUGUUGC